CUUAUUAAACCCUUAUUCCCUAUGAUAAAACCGCCUUCAUAAAUCUCCCCUCAGUUUUAGCCUCUAUCUUCCGCUCUUCUCCCCAAAUGUCUCUCUCGAAACCCUAACUCAAAAGUUUAUGGCCGAUCGAUCGAGCUCGGAGUCGGCAAAGUUUGGAGAUCGGUCAAGAAAUUGAGGAGAUUGGAAGGGAAAAGCUUGGAAGCUGCAAUUUAACGGCCAGGUGUGAGAUCGAUCAAGAAACGGAGGAGCUUGGGGUGUUAACAACAAGUUGUUGAUAAAAAAAGAGAGGAGCUUGGAAGUGGCAACCUUAAUGGCAAGGUCCUGGAUUAGGGCUAAUCGGUCUGAGGCGCUUUGUUUGGCGUACUUUGCACUUUGCACGGAUGCAUCGGGGCGAGAUGGCACUGUUUGGCGCCACGAAGGUUGCCUCGCAGACUGCUUCGUAGCAUGCAGACGAGCUACGUAUUCGCACGAGGGUGUGACCAUAGCGUUCUCAAAGUCAGACGAGGUUCGUCAAUUGGUUGAAGAGGUUCGUCUGUUUGACGAGGUUCGCUCGUUCGUUGAGGUUCGUCUGUCAAACGAGUUUCGCCUAUUUGACGAGGUUCGUUUGUUUGACGAGGUUCGUUUGUCAAACGAGGUUUGUCUGACUUGUUGAGUCGUGAUCCUCGCGUUACGUAGCAACGCGUCCAUUGAUUGUCUCGUAUUCGGCUGUUAUACAUCCUUAUGAUAUAAAAGUUGCUAUUAUUUUUUUUUUAAAAAGUUGCUAUUAUUUUAAAUUUCCUUGGGCUCAAGGUCAUUCAACUGGCCCUAAUUUUGUUCUAUUUUCCUUCACCUGUUCUUUUCCUUCCGAUUGGACUUUUCUUCUAUGAUCUCGAUUCUUUUUUGGUUGCCAGUGUUUUCCUUUCCUUUCUUAUUUUCUUCUAUUAUUUUGUAUUGGGUAUUGGAGGAGGUAGCUCAACUUUUUUUCACCAGGUAUGGAUAUGGGUGUGUCCCUGUGCAUUGUUGUUAGGUGCUUUUGUGCCUCUUGCUAGUCAGCUGGGAGAACUUUUGUAUAUCAAGUGAAUUCAUAUAAAAGAUAGACUCCUAAAGUAGCAAUUUGUGUCUUUUUAAUUUGUUUUUCGGAUAAUAUUGGUGUGAGGUUUGUCCCAUCUUUAUGUGCAUUAUAGAUUAAUGAUGUAUGGCAUCUUGGAGAUUGUGCUGGUAGGUUUCAAAUGCAUGCUGCUACUGUUUUCAGCCGUAAAACUUAGAGCUAUUUAAAUGUGCAGGCACAAGCUGCAGGUCGUGCAGGUGGUCCCCCUGGUAGAGGUGUAGUGCCACCAGUAAGACGAUAGUCAUCUUCAAGCGUGCCCGAAUUUCCUUAACUUCUGCAGUGCACCAUUUCUUGAGGGUCCUUCGGUUGUAGACCGAGACUUCUAGCAACAGUGUUGCCGUUUAGAUGUAAACAAAGUUUCUUCACCUUCUACAACUGAUUUCUUCUGUUGACCUCAAUCAGUUCAGAAUUUGUACUGCUUUCUGGUUCUUAUGUCCCGUGUCAGUGCCUGGAGGUACUAAUGUAUUCUAGUUUUAUCUGUGGGAUUUGCAAUAUCAUUUCUGCGAUCUGAUUGAGUUCACUUGUUCUGCCACCAUCAUCAGAUCUCACUUGCUCUACCACCUUUUUGUAACUGAUAUCCCAAAUUAUAUACGUUAAAGCGAAACUCAGAACUCAAUAUUGU